rnacentral:lncRNA from 1 species
UCAAACUCAAUCCACGGCUUUAGGCAGGCUCCUCGUAUUAUAAACUAGCAGCGCUGCUAUAAACUACUAGUCCAAAGAAAAGCGUAAAUGUGGCGCGCCACCACCAAGUCUAUGAAACAAUAAAGCAUCAAUGAUCAAUGGAGUCGACAGACAAAGGCAACCGGUUUUACCGGCCAAUGGCUGCUUCCUAUCUUUCUGCAGUCAAAUGGCAAUGGGCGGCCGGAGCGCUGUGGAACAUCCAACCUCUCUCUAUCCGUAUAUUAUUACUAUAAUUUAAAAGCUGUAAGUUUGUUCCACUGCCGCCAUUUGUAACCGACUCUAUCCUUUAUUUGGACGCUGCCGAUCGGCUUCAUGUAUGCGUCUAACGUAGUAUUUUCCAUUCCUCCUCCUUUUCCUUUUUUUGCCUUUUUUUUCUGCGUGAAUUUUCAUCCAUUUCUGUAUUUUCGCUAAUGUUGUAGCAUUAUAAUCCUAUCCCAAAAAAAAAAAACACGCAAGUAUAUACACUGCAUAGACUUCUUUUUUUUUUUUUUUUUUUUAAACUUUUCUACCAACCUUGGAUGAUACACUUCUGAUUUCAAUUCUUUUAAGAUACUUGCAAGGUUAUAUAUUUGCCGGGUGGUCGCCGCUUCCUCUUGUUGCCUCUGUGGCCAUCCCCAGCGGUGAGGCGGAGUAAGGAACGAUGCUCGACAAUGCAAGAUAUAGGGAG